AAGAGGAAAGCCUCUUGCAGUUGAGAUGGAGGAAGGCCACUGUCUCCUGCUUGCCCCUGGGAACUGAAUGUCUCGCUGUGAAGCCCGAUUGUACAUUUGUUCAACUCUGAGAUAGGAGAAAAGCUGCCCUGUGGCGGGAGGCGAGACAUGUUUGCAGCAAUGCUGCCAUGUUCUUUACUCCACUGAGAUGUUUGGGUGGAGAGAAGCAUGAAUCUGGCCUACAUGCACGUCCAGGCAUAGUACCUUCCCUUGAACUUAAUUAUGAUAUAGAUUCUUUUGCUCACAUAUUUCUUGUUGGUCUUCUCCUUAUUAUCACCCUGCUCUCCUACUACAUUUCUUUUUGCUGAAAUAAUGAAAAUCAUAAUCAAUAAAAACUGAGGGAACUCAGAGGCCGGUGCCAGUGCACGUCCUUUAUGUGCUGAGUGUCUGUCCCCUGGAACCACUGUUGUUUCUCUAUACUUUGACUCUGUGUCUUAUUUCUUUUCUCUGUCACUCAUCCCACCCGACUAGAAAUACCCACAGGGGUGGAGGGGCAGGCCACCCCUUCAAUUUGGUGACACAUAGCCUGUGCCCUCAAAGAACACUGACACCCCGGUAACAUCCAUUCAAAGAGUUUCUCUGUACCUCCCCUCCUUUAUCCCCAAGGUCACUGGGUCAGAGCUCACGGAGUCAUUCACAACAUGAUGUUUAACACCGAGACGCUCUGGAAUUACUCCUUCAAGACGACUCAGAAGAAGACCCAUUGCUGAGACAAUCAUGUUCUCUCUCUCUCUGGAUCACCACCCAGAGACAAGGACUGCCAGAGACCCUGGCUUCCACAGCUGCUGCCUCUCAUUCCUGCACCUGUGGGAUGAGAGUUCGAAGCUGUGUGACCUUGACCAAGUUACUUACCCUCUCUAAGCAUAUGUUUCCCUAAAUGUGAAAUAGGGAUGAUGGUGAUGUGUUUAUUUCACAGAUUUGAUAGAAGGAUUAAAUGAGAGAUGCAUCAAAAGCAGUAGGCACAGGGUCAAUGCUCAGUGAGCUUUCUCUUUUCUUAUCAAUAGACAGGUCUCCAUGAGGACAGAAACUGGCUUCAUCUCGACUGUAGCGUCAGGGUUGGCCACAGUGUCUGCACCCAGCAGGACUUCAGUAAAUAUCUGUUUAUACACUAACCACAGACUUAGGCAUAAAAGCCCUUUGGAAAAAAGUUGACCAUUUCAUGCACCUUCAGACUAUGAAGAGCAGUGAUGACAACUUUAGCUUGAGAGGCUCUCAGUGCCCAUUCAUCACCGCUGUGAAAAGGCAGAAACCAGAGCUGUGUGUUUAACUCCCAGGCCCAAAAUCUGUUGGCCUUGCUUUAUCACUAUGAACUUCCAAUGCCAUCCCUUUAGAAUGCGACCUCUCUCUUCUUCCCCAAGGCACUAGCCUUCACCCCAGACCUAUCCUUAUUAGCUGGUGCCUCCUCUCUGUACUCUGAGCCCAUGCUGUGCUCGUCAGAUAGCAACAUGGGAGAAUACAGCAGCCCAGAAUGCAGGCUGCAGAGUUAGAUCCCCAGAACAGGAUCUCAGCCGGUUCCAUCCUUCCUUAGCUGGGCGACCGUGGCCAUUGACUUGCUCUCUGUGCCUGAGUUGCUCCAUCUGUGAAAUGAUGAUUAUCAUAGUCCCUGCUUCAAAGAGUCACUGGGAGGAUUAACAGAAAAUGCAGGGAAGGUGCUUGGAAAUAAAUGCUCAAAAAAAGUCCAUGUGGCCAGGCACGGUGUCUCACACCUGUAAUCUCAGCACUUUGGGAGACUGAGGCAGGUGGAUCUGUUGAGGUCAGGAAUUCAAGACCAGCCUUGUCAACAUGGCAAAACCCCGACUCUACUAAAAACACAAAAAUUAGUCAGGCAUGGUGGCAGGCACCUGUAAUUCCAGCUACUUGGGAGGCUGAGGCAUGAGAAUCUCUUGAACCUGGGAGUCAGAGGUUGCAGUGAGCCGAGAUGGUGCCACUGCACUCCAGCAUGGGCAACAAGAGUGAAACUGUCUCAAAAAAAAAAAAAAAAAAAAGUCCAUCAUUCUUAUUAAUGGAGGCCAAAUCAUCUCAGCGCUUCUUUGGCUGAUCAGUACCCUCCAAGCCAGUGUUAUCCAAUAGACCAGAGGUCCCCAUCCCCCAGACCACAGACCAGUAGCGGUCUGUGGCCUGUUAGGAACUGGGCUGCACAGAAGGAGGUGAGCAGUGGACUAGUGAGUGAAGCUUCAUCUGUAUUUACAGCAGCUCCUCAUGGCUAGCGUUACUGCCUGAGCUCUGUCUCCUGUCAGAUCAGCAGUGGCAUUAGAUUCUGAUAGGAGCACCAACCCUAUUAUAAACUGCAUGUGGAAGUGAUCUAGGUUGUGUGCUCCUUAUGAGAAUCUAAUGCCUGAUGAUCUGUCACUGUUUCCCACCACCUAGAGAUGGAAUUAUCCAGUUGCAGGAAAACAAGUGCAGGGCUCCCACUGAUUCUACAUUGUGGUGAGUUGUAUAAGGAUUUCAUUAUAUAUUAUAAUGUUAAUAACAAUAGAAAUAAAGUACACAAUAAAUGUAAUGCACUUGAAUCAUCCUGAAAUUUCCCCCCACAAAUACAUGGAAACUGGUCCUUGGUGCUAAAAAAAAUUGGGGACCACUGCACUAGACUAUUCAGUCACGGUCCAAUCAAACAUUCUGCAAUGGCGGGCUUGCUCUACUCUGCACUGUCCAACAUGGGAGCUGCUAGCCA
rnacentral:lncRNA from 1 species